rnacentral:rRNA from 1 species
GAUGAACGCUGGCGGCGUGCCUAAUACAUGCAAGUCGAGCGAACAGAUGAGGAGCUUGCUCCUCUGACGUUAGCGGCGGACGGGUGAGUAACACGUGGAUAACCUACCUAUAAGACUGGGAUAACUGCGGGAAACCGGAGCUAAUACCGGAUAAUAUAUGUAGCCGCAUGGUUCAAUAGUGAAAGACGGUUUUGCUGUGACUUAUAGAUGGAUCCGCGCCGCAUUAGCUAGUUGGUAAGGUAACGGCUUACCAAGGCAACGAUGCGUGGCCGACCUGGGAGGGUGAUCGGCCACACUGGAACUGAGACACGGUCCAGACUCCUACGGGAGGCAGCAGUAGGGAAUCUUCCGCAAUGGGCGAAAGCCUGACGGAGCAACGCCGCGUGAGUGAUGAAGGUCUUCGGAUCGUAAAACUCUGUUAUUGGGGAAGAACAAAUGUGUAAGUAACUAUGCACGUCUUGACGGUACCUAAUCAGAAAGCCACGGCUAACUACGUG